ACAUGUUGUAAAAGGCAAACAGUGGCUGGCGCAGGCUGUGGCUCAUUCGCCGUCCCUGUCGCAGGUCACAUGGCAGCUGCUGACCACGUGAAGGCAUAGGCUGUGGACACACAUCUUCCUUCCUCCCGCACCAAGAUCCGAGUCCUGCCGGUUUAAACUUCAUUGAUUUUGUACUUUACCUUCCAUUCCGUCCUUGUCUUGUCUUUCAAAUUUCUAAGCUCUUAACCUUGGCAACUGUUCUAUAUUUUGGGGACACAAGAAGAGGCUGACCCAAGGGAUGCUGAUGUGGAAAUUUGUGGAAACUCCAAAGGUAGUUUCAGAGCCUGUUGCAUGUGCUCUACCUUCCUUGUUUGUGAGUUCGGGGAGGUGCUGGGCCUCUCCCAGGAUGGGCUUCCAUGCGAGCGGCAGGACAAGGACCAAAGAAGCUAGUGCCAGUCUCCUUCCAAAGUUCCAUUUCACCCUCCUUGGUAUGUGGCUUCCAACUGCAAAACUAUCUUGUGGUCCAAGGUGACUGCUGGAGCACAGCCAACGUGUCUGCAUUCCAGGUCUUGUCCCGUAAGGUCGAAGAAUGGCAAGAAAGUCUAUGAGUCGUUGAUUCAUCUGUGGUGCAUUCAAGAAGCGAGUCCAAUACUCUCAUGUAGAUAACCAAGAAAAUGUGUUUUCGCUUGGUCUAAAUGGACGUAGAGGAUUCGUAAGGAGCGCUGAGUCUCCCAGGCAGCAUGCUGGCCAGGGGAGUCCUGAGGGGACAGAGGAGAGGACUCUGGAAUCUGAGACGGUAAAUAAAGAUUGGAAGAGGUGGUGAACACCGUGGACCACUCAACCUGGGGAGCAUUAUGAGCUGAACUGGGUCCCCCCAAAAAGAUCUGUUGAGGGCAGCCCGGGUGGCUCAGUGGUUUAGGGUCGUCUUCAGCC